AUUAUGCCCAGCCAUAAACCUUGAUACUUUCAUACAAUUAGUAUCCGCCAGGGAACUACGAGCACCAGCUUAAAACCCAAAGGACUUGGCGGUGCCUCAGAUCCCCCUAGAGGAGCCUGUUCUAGAACCGAUAACCCCCGUUAAACCUCACCACUUCUUGCCUAUUCCGCCUAUAUACCACCGUCGCCAGCUUACCCUGUGAAGGGAAAAAAGUAAGCAAAAUGGAAACUUUCCAAAACGUCAGGUCGAGGUGUAGCACACGAAGUGGGAAGAAAUGGGCUACAUUACCUGACACAGGAUAUUCACGGAAAGUCACCUGAAACGGUAAUUCAAAGGUGGAUUUAGCAGUAAAAGAGGAAUAGAGUGCCCCUUUGAAGCCGGCUCUGAGGCGCGCAC
rnacentral:rRNA from 1 species